CUUGGUUGAUCCUGCCAGUAGCUUAUGUUUGUCUCAAAGAUAAAGCCAUGCACAUCUAGGUGUGCACGGCUGCUGCAGCGAAACGCUAGUGGCUCAGCAAAUCAGUUGUGGCUCCUUCAGUCACUUGCUCCUCUCCUACUUGGAUAACUGUGGCAAUUCCAGAGCUAAUACACGCUGACAAGCGCCGACCACCCCCACCCCCACCCCACCCCCCGCUACGGGUCUGCAGUUAUCAGAUCAAAACCAACCCGGUCAGCUCCUUCCUAGCCUGGCUGAGGGCAGGUGCCAAGGUCCUGUUGGAACGUCUGCCCCAUCAGCUUUCUUUUCUUUCUUUCUUUUUUUCUUUUUUUGGCAGCACCGGGGAUUGAACUCAGACCCUUGCACUUGCCAGGGAAGCGCUUAUUCCACUGAGCCAUCUCCCUGAUCCCGACCCCCAUCAGCUUUCCUGGUAGUUGCCAUGCCUACCACAGUGACCACGGGUGAUGGGAAUUGGGGGUUGAUUCUGAAGAGGGAGCCUGAGAAACCCGGCUACCACAUCCAAGGAAGGCAGCAGAUGGCGCAAAUUACCCAUUCCCCACCCAGGGAGGUAGUGACAAAAAAGAACAAUACCAGGCUCUAUGGAGGCCCUGUAACUGGAAUGAGUCCACUUUACAUCCUUUCAUGAGCAUCCCCUGGAGGGCAAGUCUGGAGCCAGCAGCCCCAGUAAUUCCAGCCCAAUAUCAUAUUCUAAUGUUGCUCCAGCUAAAAAGCUCUAGUUGGAUCUUGGGAGCGGGUGGGCAGUCCACGGGGAGGGGAGCCAGUGCCCGGCUGCCCCUUGCCUCUUGGUGCUCCCUCCAUGUUCCUAGCUGAGCGUCUCUCGGAGCCGAAGCAUCUACUUUGGAAAAGAUUAGUGUGCAAGCAGGCCCGGACCGCAUGGACACUGCAGCGAGGCGUGGCGGGAUCCGACUGUGGUUCUAUUUUAUUGGUUUUCAGAACUGAGGUCAAGAUUAAGAGGCACGGCUGGGGGCAUUAGAGGUGAAAUUCUUGGACCGGCGCAAGACGGACCAGAGCGAAAGCAUUUGCCAAGAAUGUUUUCAUUAAUCAAGUUUUAAAAAUAAAGAGCAGGGCAUGGUGGUGAGCACACCUGUAAUCCCAGCACUUGGGAGGCUGAGCCAGGAGGAUCAUUGAGUUCGAGACUAGCCUGGGCUACAAAGUGAGCUCCAGGUCAG
rnacentral:rRNA from 1 species